AUAACCGACUUUUAUUGUUAAUGAAAGAAAAAAAGGUGGCAGACAAGUUUCCAUGUUUUAGGCAGUAGUGACAAUGCUUUAUUCCUACUUGAUUGUGCUUGAUCGAAGGAACAAUCAAUCAAGCUUGCAGACACUCUCCCUCUCUCUCACUCUCACUCACACUCUCUCUCUCUCUCUCUCGUCCGAAACCAUCCAAGAAACAGAGCAAUUAUUCUCCAAGCUUGUUCUCGCUCCACAGGGCAUCGAUCGACCCCAGACCACUUCCUAUAGGUUCACCUCGACCUUGCCCAGCUGCAGGUGGCAGCCUUGAACCGUGACACGGCCACCAACGGCGGCGGGAAGCUCCGCCCGGUUUGAGCUCGUUUUGGUUCCAAGCUUGAUAUCUCAAGCUACCGGUCACCAAUCCUCACCAAACUUCAUCCUCGAGCUCACCUCUACCUCAUGAAACUUCCAGAAGUGUCCUUUCACGGCGGCGCUGCGCGUGGUGGCAGCUGGAAGCCAACCCCGAUCAAAAUCAAAAAACCAAGCAAUCGAUCCGGAUAUCUAGAGCUACACACCAUCAUUUCUUGUGAUUCUUGAACUAGUGAGCUCGCCUUGAGUUGCCGAAAAAAUCUCCAGAAGGUAUCGAACCGAGUUGUUGAAGUUUUUACGUUGAUCGGAGCUUCGCCGGAUUCUGGAAAUUUUCCGGCCACCGAAACUUUCGAUCAAGAUAUCUCAAGCUGUAGAGCUUCGUUUUGAGUGAUUCUUGAACCAGUGAGUUCUCCUUGAUGUUCUUAACAACUCUCCAGAAGGGAUCGAGGCCUGAAGUUGAAGUUUUUACGUCGAAAUCAAGCUCGCCGGUUUCUGCAUUGUUCGCCGGUUUCUGGAAAAUCUCCGACCAACCCGACUGGUUCGAGGUGUUUGACGGUUUGAUUUGACAGACGAAUUGUGAUUUUUAUUCGAGUUGUAAGAAGACGCAGCGGGAUUAGAGCGAAGAGGUCAACCGUCUUCCCGCCGUCAAGAGGCCAACGCCCCUCCUGCUACUGGUCAGGCCGCGAAACAAAAAGCAAUAGCGACGGAGCCUGAAGUCGAAGACUUUUCUGAUGAUGAAGACCCACAAAUGAUUGCCGCUGCUCUGGCCUGCAAGCUCAGUCGCUUUGACCGUCGGACCGACCCCUGGACAGAAGAUGAACCACUCACUAACCGACUGGUUCGUCAUAGGUCCAGAGGUCCUUCAAUGCAAAGUGGGAAGGACCGUCUACUGCUAGCGGUGAAGCAUCAUCUUCUCAAGCCCAGAUGCCACCAGCUUCUUCCAACUCUCCAACUCUCCAACUCUGACCCAGGCCGCGAGUAAUCCACAGCUAGCCCUGGUGCCAGUGCAGAUUCAAGAUGACAGCUCUCUUGAGGUAGAAGAAAGAACACCGCCACUGGAUGCUCCUCUCGGUGAACCAGCCGCGACUAAUAUCCUGGAGCAAGUAGCCUCUGACUCAGUUCUAGACACUGCCGAAGUUGCUCAGGAACAAGUGGCAAUCGAAGCUCCAAACCCUCUCAGCUCUUCAGGAACUCCCCGCGAGCCAACUGCAGAAGAGGGUUAGUGUUCUGUCCGCACCGAGGCUGUGAACGCCGCCUCCGAGGAAGCGACUAGCGAGCAUCCCGCUGAACCCGCAGUUGCAGAAGAAGCUGCCCAGGAACCUGCCCAUCAUGCCCCCUAAGUGAUCAAAGUGGGGGAGGAAGUAAAUCCUGAACUUGCGCCGGAGGCAGUUCCUGCCGCGGAGCCUCCUGAAGCUCCUGUCGUUGUUGCUCCAAUUCCACCGCUAGUACCUCCUUCCAGACUAUAGCGGUUGGCCUGUGUGCUUGAAGUGACUCCCCCUGGAGUUGUAGACAAUGCUAGGGAAGGCCUUCACCGUCUUCUGGGUCUUGACAUUCUGACACCUGGCGCACCUGGGAGAGCUUUAGAGUACCUCCGAGUUCUUCUUCGUGAGCGUGCCAUCACUAAAGACCAGUUCCGCGACAUAGACAAGCUGCUGGCCGGAGGAUCUUCCUAUGUGGUUAAAUGAGAAGACAGCCGCGGCUGCGCAGGCUAGACAUGCCCAAACACAUUACCAGGCCCUUACCCAACAGAUCGACACCCGCCAUGAUUUUCUAGGUGACUUGGCUUCUCAAAUCAGAUAAAUGGAGCUCGCGGAGAACCAUCUUUAGUCCCAAAUUCAAGAUCUUCAAGCCCAAUGAACUUUAUCUCUGUAGACUCUGAUACAUCAGCUCAGCUUCAACAAGAAAUAAUACCGGAGGACAAGGUCAUUAAAUCCGGGGAUUAUUUUGUACUGAAAGACAAUCCUGAGACCUCUCUUAUUGCACGUUCUCAUAAAAUGAGUAAGAGUAGGGGAAAUUUUGUCAAUCCUGAUGAUGUUGUUUCUGAGUAUGGGGCAGAUUCACUUCGCUUGUAUGAAAUGUUCAUGGGGCCAUUAAGAGACUCAAAACAAUGGAAUACGAUUGGUAUUGAAGGGGUUCAUUGGUUUUUGGGAAGAGCCUUGUAAGUACAAGAUUUUGUACAUGUUAUUUGUUGGCAUUCCCAUACAAAGCUAGUGAAGUAUAUCAUGACAAUUCAUCACUGAAGAAGCUGGAAAAGGGCCUAAUACUGAUCUCAAAUACGUUACAGGUAAAUGCAUCUCAUGAGUCAGCAUAUGCAUUGGGAUUGCAAUCUGUGUUGCAAUCCUUGAGUCAGUCCUAGGUUUUAGGAAGUUUGUUUUUGGAAAGUAUCUUUCUAUUCUUAAAUUUUAUUAUGCAAAGAUUUUUUUCACCAGUUAAAAUCGUCCCAUUGAAGACCUAAUUGAUUUAGGUCUGUUUAUUUUAAUUGGCAAUCUUUUGUUAAAAAGAUCUUUCCUAAUAGGAAUCAAUUAGGGUUAGACGCAUUGAUUGUACACGAUUCUUUCUCCAUAUAAUUCUGAAAAUAUGGUCUAGGUUUAGAGAGCUUUUAAUUUGCAUAUCAUAUCAAUUUGCAUGUGAUUGAUGCAUAUAUUAUGGGUCUAAACUCUCCAAUUCAAAUAGUGUUUAAGGAAA